UACGUAGGGUGCGAGCGUUAAUCGGAAUUACUGGGCGUAAAGCGUGCGCAGGCGGUGAGCUGUGUCCGAUGUGAAAGCCCCGGGCUUAACCUGGGAAUGGCAUUGGAAACUGGCUCGCUGGAGUGUGGCAGAGGGGGGGUGGAAUUCCGCGUGUAGCAGUGAAAUGCGUAGAGAUCGGGAGGAACACCUGUGGCGAAGGCGGCCCCCCUGGGCCGGCCCUGACACUGAGACGCGAAGGCGUGGGGAGCGAACGGG
rnacentral:rRNA from 1 species